rnacentral:rRNA from 1 species
ACGAACGCUGGCGGCGUGCCUAACACAUGCAAGUCGAACGGAAAUACAGAAAGCUUGCUUUUUGUAUUUUAGUGGCGGACGGGUGAGUAACGCGUGAGUAACCUGCCCAUCAAAGGGGGAUAACGUUUGGAAACAGACGCUAAUACCGCAUAAAAUCACAUGACCGCAUGGUCGAGUGAUCAAAGGAGCAAUCCGUUGAUGGAUGGACUCGCGUCCGAUUAGCCAGUUGGCGGGGUAAAGGCCCACCAAAGCAACGAUCGGUAGCCGGACUGAGAGGUUGAACGGCCACAUUGGGACUGAGACACGGCCCAGACUCCUACGGGAGGCAGCAGUGGGGGAUAUUGCACAAUGGGGGAAACCCUGAUGCAGCAACGCCGCGUGAGGGAAGAAGGUUUUCGGAUUGUAAACCUCUGUCCUUGGUGAAGAUAAUGACGGUAGCCAAGGAGGAAGCUCCGGCUAACUACGUGCCAGCAGCCGCGGUAAUACGUAGGGAGCGAGCGUUGUCCGGAAUUACUGGGUGUAAAGGGUGCGUAGGCGGCAAAUCAAGUCAGAUGUGAAAUACCGAGGCUUAACCUCGGAGCUGCAUUUGAAACUGAAUUGCUUGAGUGAAGUAGAGGCAAGCGGAAUUCCCGGUGUAGCGGUGAAAUGCGUAGAGAUCGGGAGGAACACCAGUGGCGAAGGCGGCUUGCUAGGCUUCAACUGACGCUGAGGCACGAAAGCGUGGGUAGCAAACAGGAUUAGAUACCCUGGUAGUCCACGCUGUAAACGAUGAUUACUAGGUGUGGGCGGAUAGACCGUCCGUGCCGGAGUUAACACAAUAAGUAAUCCACCUGGGGAGUACGACCGCAAGGUUGAAACUCAAAGGAAUUGACGGGGGCCCGCACAAGCAGUGGAGUAUGUGGUUUAAUUCGAAGCAACGCGAAGAACCUUACCAGGUCUUGACAUCCGACUAACGAAGCAGAGAUGCAUCAGGUGCCCUUCGGGGAAAGUCGAGACAGGUGGUGCAUGGUUGUCGUCAGCUCGUGUCGUGAGAUGUUGGGUUAAGUCCCGCAACGAGCGCAACCCUUGUCCUUAGUUGCUACGCAAGAGCACUCUAAGGAGACUGCCGUUGACAAAACGGAGGAAGGUGGGGAUGACGUCAAAUCAUCAUGCCCCUUAUGACCUGGGCUACACACGUACUACAAUGGCCGUAAACAGAGGGAAGCAAGACAGCGAUGUGGAGCAAACCCCUAAAAACGGUCCCAGUUCAGAUUGUAGGCUGCAACUCGCCUACAUGAAGAUGGAAUUGCUAGUAAUCGCGAAUCAGCAUGUCGCGGUGAAUACGUUCCCGGGCCUUGUACACACCGCCCGUCACACCAUGGGAGCCGGUAAUACCCGAAGUCAGUGUCCUAGCUGAAGGAAUUUGGAGGGAGCUGCCGAAGGUAGGAUUGGCGACUGGGGUG